GAGGUCAUUGUCAGACAUGGGAAG
rnacentral:miRNA from 1 species